GGGGCGAAGCUUGCUUCGCCUGCCGGCGACCGGCGCACGGGUGAGUAACACGUAUGCGACCUGCCCCCCGCAGGGGGAUAACCGGGAGAAAUCCCGACUAAUACCGCGUAACGCCGCGGGGCUGCAUGGCCCCGCGGCCAAAGGAAGCGAUUCCGGCGGGGGAUGGGCAUGCGGCGCAUUAGCUAGUCGGCGGGGUAACGGCCCACCGAGGCGACGAUGCGUAGGGGUUCUGAGAGGAAGGUCCCCCACACUGGUACUGAGACACGGACCAGACUCCUACGGGAGGCAGCAGUGAGGAAUAUUGGUCAAUGGGCGUAAGCCUGAACCAGCCAAGUCGCGUGAGGGAAGACGGUCCUACGGAUUGUAAACCUCUUUUGCCGGGGAGCAACGGGGUCCUUGCGAGGGCCUUAUGAGAGUACCCGGAGAAAAAGCAUCGGCUAACUCCGUGCCAGCAGCCGCGGUAAUACGGAGGAUGCGAGCGUUAUCCGGUUUUAUUGGGUUUAAAGGGUGCGUAGGCGGGCUGUUAAGUCAGCGGUCAAAUGUCGGGGCUCAACCCCGGCCUGCCGUUGAAACUGGCGGCCUCGAGUGGGCGAGAAGUAUGCGGAAUGCGUGGUGUAGCGGUGAAAUGCAUAGAUAUCACGCAGAACUCCGAUUGCGAAGGCAGCAUACCGGCGCCCGACUGACGCUGAGGCACGAAAGCGUGGGUAUCGAACAGGAUUAGAUACCCUGGUAGUCCACGCAGUAAACGAUGAAUGCUAGCUGUCCGGUUC
rnacentral:rRNA from 1 species